GAUGAACGCUGGCGGCGUGCCUAAUACAUGCAAGUCGAGCGAACGGACGAGAAGCUUGCUUCUCUGAUGUUAGCGGCGGACGGGUGAGUAACACGUGGAUAACCUACCUAUAAGACUGGGAUAACUUCGGGAAACCGGAGCUAAUACCGGAUAAUAUUUUGAACCGCAUGGUUCAAAAGUGAAAGACGGUCUUGCUGUCACUUAUAGAUGGAUCCGCGCUGCAUUAGCUAGUUGGUAAGGUAACGGCUUACCAAGGCAACGAUGCAUAGCCGACCUGAGAGAGUGAUCGGCCACACUGGAACUUAGACACGGUCCAGACUCCUACGGGAGGCAGCAGUAUGGAAUCUUCCGCAAUGGGCGAGAGCCUGACGGAGCGACGCCGCGUGAGUUAUGACGGUCUUCGGAUCGUAAAACUCUGUUAUUAGGGAAGAACAUAUGUGUAAGUAACUGUGCACAUCUUGACGGUACCUAAUCAGAAAGCCACGGCUAACUACGUG
rnacentral:rRNA from 1 species